rnacentral:rRNA from 1 species
GACGAACGCUGGCGGCGUGCUUAACACAUGCAAGUCGAACGGAAAGGCCCUGCUUGCAGGGUACUCGAGUGGCGAACGGGUGAGUAACACGUGGGUGAUCUGCCCUUCACUUCGGGGUAAGCCUGGGAAACUGGGUCUAAUACCGGAUAGGAGCCAUUUUUAGUGUGAUGGUUGGAAAGUUUUUUCGGUGUAGGAUGAGCUCGCGGCCUAUCAGCUUGUUGGUGGGGUAAUGGCCUACCAAGGCGGCGACGGGUAGCCGGCCUGAGAGGGUGGACGGCCACAUUGGGACUGAGAUACGGCCCAGACUCCUACGGGAGGCAGAAGUGGGGAAUAUUGCACAAUGGGCGCAAGCAUGAUGCAGCGACGCCGCGUGGGGGAUGACGGCCUUCGGGUUGUAAACUCCUUUCGCUAGGGACGAAGCUUUUGUGACGGUACCUAGAUAAGAAGCACCGGCUAACUACGUG